GAUGAACGCUGGCGGCGUGCUUAACACAUGCAAGUCGAACGGGGUUAUGAUGUGUGCGGAGUUAGCUUGCUAAUGCCAAACUUUUCAUAACCUAGUGGCGGACGGGUGAGUAACGCGUGGGUAACCUGCCCUGCACUGGGGGAUAACACCUGGAAACAGGUGCUAAUACCGCAUAAGCGCACGGGGCCGCAUGGCCCAGUGUGAAAAACCGAGGUGGUGUAGGAUGGACCCGCGUCUGAUUAGCUUGUUGGCGGGGUAACGGCCCACCAAGGCGACGAUCAGUAGCCGGCCUGAGAGGGUGGACGGCCACAUUGGGACUGAGACACGGCCCAAACUCUUACGGGAGGCAGCAGUGGGGAAUAUUGGACAAUGGGGGGAACCCUGAUCCAGCGACGCCGCGUGAGUGAAGAAGUAUUUCGGUAUGUAAAGCUCUAUCAGCAGGGAAGAAAGAAAUGACGGUACCUGACUAAGAAGCCCCGGCUAACUACGUGCCAGCAGCCGCGGUAAUACGUAGGGGGCAAGCGUUAUCCGGAUUUACUGGGUGUAAAGGGAGCGUAGACGGCAAUGCAAGUCUGGAGUGAAAGGCGGGGGCCCAACCCCCGGACUGCUCUGGAAACUGUAUAGCUGGAGUGCAGGAGAGGUAAGUGGAAUUCCUAGUGUAGCGGUGAAAUGCGUAGAUAUUAGGAGGAACACCAGUGGCGAAGGCGGCUUACUGGACUGUAACUGACGUUGAGGCUCGAAAGCGUGGGGAGCAAACAGGAUUAGAUACCCUGGUAGUCCACGCCGUAAACGAUGAUCACUAGGUGUCGGUGGGUAUGGACCCAUCGGUGCCGCAGCCAACGCAGUAAGUGAUCCACCUGGGGAGUACGUUCGCAAGAAUGAAACUCAAAGGAAUUGACGGGGACCCGCACAAGCGGUGGAGCAUGUGGUUUAAUUCGAAGCAACGCGAAGAACCUUACCAGGUCUUGACAUCCUCCUGAAUGAAGGGUAAUGCCUUCAGGCCUCCGGGACAGGAGAGACAGGUGGUGCAUGGUUGUCGUCAGCUCGUGUCGUGAGAUGUUGGGUUAAGUCCCGCAACGAGCGCAACCCUUAUCUUUAGUAGCCAGCGGCCAGGCCGGGCACUCUAGAGAGACUGCCGGGGAUAACCCGGAGGAAGGUGGGGAUGACGUCAAAUCAUCAUGCCCCUUAUGAUCUGGGCUACACACGUGCUACAAUGGCGUAAACAGAGGGAAGCGAGCCUGCGAGGGGGAGCGAAUCCCAAAAAUAACGUCCCAGUUCGGAUUGUAGUCUGCAACCCGGCUACAUGAAGCUGGAAUCGCUAGUAAUCGCGGAUCAGAAUGCCGCGGUGAAUACGUUCCCGGGUCUUGUACACACCGCCCGUCACACCAUGGGAGUCGGAAAUGCCCGAAGUCUGUGACCUAACCGCAAGGGAGGAGCAGCCGAAGGCAGGUCGGAUGACUGGGGUGAAGUCGUAACAAGGU
rnacentral:rRNA from 1 species